GAUGAACGCUGACAGAAUGCUUAACACAUGCAAGUCUUUGGCGAAGCUGUGCUUGCACAGCCUAGCCAAGGCGGACGGGUGAGUAACGCGUAAGGAACUUGCCCUGCAGUCAGGGAUAACAGACGGAAACGACUGAUAAGACCUGGUAAAGUCAGGCGGACUCAUGUCUAGCCUGAUGAAAAGAGAUGCUGCAGGAGAGCCUUGCGUCCUAUUAGCUUGUUGGUGGGGUAACGGCCCACCAAGGCGAUGAUAGGUAGCCGGCCUGAGAGGGUGGACGGCCACAAGGGGACUGAGAUACGGCCCUUACUCCUACGGGAGGCAGCAGUGGGGAAUAUUGGACAAUGGGGGCAACCCUGAUCCAGCAAUUCUGUGUGCACGAUGAAGGUUUUCGGAUUGUAAAGUGCUUUCAGCAGGGAAGAAAAAAAUGACGGUACCUGCAGAAGAAGCGACGGCUAAAUACGUG
rnacentral:rRNA from 1 species